rfam:Gossypium raimondii Chr10_contig_81, whole genome shotgun sequence.
CCUGGGGGCGCGCUUUGCUUACGUGGACACAAAGCGCGCUUACGAGGACGCGCUUUGUUGCCACGUAGGCAAAGCGCGCCCCCUGGG